rnacentral:snoRNA from 10 species
GAGAAGUAUGUUGGGGGGUUGCCCACUUUGAAAUAAAAAUUGACAAAAUCUCAUGACAGAGCUUUUUAACCCUGAUUCUUU